CACAGAGAGUCAAGAUGUAACGCCAUGGGGUAGGAAGCCCGGAACUAUUCUCUGAGAACUGAGUUUGAUUCUGAUCCCCAUGCCAAUGACUCCAGCUCCAUAGAUGCCCCUCCUCCAUCUUCUGGCAUCCACAAACAUCUGCACUUCUGUAAAUAAGGGGGUCUAUGCAGGUGUCCAGGAAGGCAGUGAACCACAAAGUGCUCAGAAUUACAACUUGAUUAAGAUUGAUUUUGUGACCCUGGAUCAAGCUUAAGGAUCCUGGCCCAUGGGAUGAUGUCACCUGCAUUCAGCAUGGGACUUCCCUCUUCUAAAAUACCCUCAGUACUAUCCACUGACCUGUUGCUGAGGCUCAAAAUCCCAAA